rnacentral:rRNA from 1 species
GACGAACGCUGGCGGCGUGCUUAACACAUGCAAGUCGAGCGGUAAGGCCCUUUCGGGGGUACACGAGCGGCGAACGGGUGAGUAACACGUGGGUGACCUGCCCUCAGCUCUGGGAUAAGCCUGGGAAACCGGGUCUAAUACCGGAUAUGACUCCAUGACGCAUGUUGUGGGGUGGAAAGCCUUGUGCGGCUGAGGAUGGGGCCCGCGG